UACGUAGGGUGCGAGCGUUAAUCGGAAUUACUGGGCGUAAAGCGUGCGCAGGCGGUUUUGUAAGCCAGAUGUGAAAUCCCCGGGCUCAACCUGGGAAUGGCAUUUGGGACUGCAAGGCUGGAGUUUGGCAGAGGAGACUGGAAUUCCCGGUGUAGCAGUGAAAUGCGUAGAUAUCAGGAGGAACACCGGUGGCGAAGGCGACCGCCUGGACGAUGACUGACGCUGAGGCGCGAAAGCGUGGGGAGCAAACAGG
rnacentral:rRNA from 1 species